GAAUUUUGUAACAUUAAAAGUGCUCUCAAGCUCUGAACCAUCGAUCGACAAUAUCAGCUGUCGCGAUAUUGUCGAUCGAUGAUCAACAGUUGAUCAACAGUAGAUCAACAGUUGAGUUGAUCAAAAACCUUUUUUCGAGAAUCCAGUGUAGGACAAGUCUGGUGCCAGCAGCCGCGGUAAUUUCAGCUCCACUAGUGUAAAUCGUCAUUGCUGCGGUUAAAAAGCUCGUAGUUGGAUCUGAGUCACAUGCAGUAGUUCACCAAUCCAGAGAACCGGUUUCCAAUGCAAGUUUGCCUGCACUCGUCCGAUUUCAAAUACUAAAUUAUUGCACUGUUGUCUAAUAAAUCUGCACUCGCUCGGGCUGCCCUUCGCCAGUUAUGUAAGGAACGUUUGCUCUUCGGGAGUCUGCAGGAUCCUAA
rnacentral:ncRNA from 1 species